rnacentral:lncRNA from 1 species
AUGUUUGUGUUAUUAAUCAAAUAAUGUAUCAGUAACUAAAAUGAACAAUGUUAAAUAUAUUUAGAAUACAUAGUUAUAUAAUAUUGAAUAUUCGUAUCAGCAUUAAAAUACAUCAAUAUAUAGGUGCAUACUACGCUUGCAUAGUUGCAUGUCACCCCCUUUGGAUUCGUAGUCCUUCUUUGCUUCUUCUUCCCUUUGCCUUCUUCAUUUUGGUGUUUUUGGGGAAACUGUUUUUUUUCCUAGAGCCUCUCCCUUUCACAGUUUUGGCACUUCACUGAUACAAGGCAACAACUAAUUUAAAUUUUUGAAUAGGUGUGGAACUAUCUAAAUUUUGAAUCUUUUGUCAAAUGUACCUCUUCCCCCGACGUUUACUUCCUUCUAGUUUAUCUGCCAGAGCUAAUGCAUUCUGAGUUGAUUUUGGGGGUUCCUCAACAAAAUCUUUGAAUAAAACACAACUAACAACUAAUUAGUCAGAAAUUCGCAUAUAUAUAAAAAAAACAUUUGCAAGAAUUAUUCAUUAAAAAUAAGAUAGUACAUAAUAUUAGUCAUUUGAAAUCAUGUAAUAAAAAAUUAUACUUCAAUUAAUAUUCAAAUAGGUCAACGUAAUAUAUAGUUGUAGAGCAAAUAAUUCACAAAUUUGAGUGCAGAUAGGUAACAAUACCCCAGUCUAUAAUUAAAUUUGCAGAACACAUUAUUUCGAAUAAACAAAAAAAUAGUUAGAAUAUGAAUACAUAAAUUGUUGAAUGCAAUUACGUGAAUAAUUCAGACCAUGUGUAAAUUUGCAGCACAUAUAACUUUAGAAUAAACAAAUAAAUGUUUAGUAAUAAGUUUACACAAAUUGGUGAACGUAAAUACGUUAAUAAUUCAAAAACAUGUGUAAAUUUGAAGCACAAAUUUUCUCGAAUAAACAAACAAACAUUUAGAAUACCAAUAUAUGUAAUGUUGACCUUAAAUAGGUGAAUAAUUCAGACCAGGAAUAAAUUUCGAACAUAUAUUAAUUCGAAUAAACAAAUAAAUAUUUAGAAUAUGAAGACACAAAUAAUUGAACGCAAGUAUUCAUUACCCUCGUCACUACUAUUGUUCGAUUGUUCCACAUUUCCCCCCUGUAUUUCGUCAUUUGAUGAUGAACAACCUGUGCAUCACAAAUUU